rnacentral:rRNA from 1 species
GCCAACACUGGGACUGAGAACUGCCCAGACUCCUACGGGAGGCUGCAGUCGAGAAUCAUUCGCAAUGGGCGAAAGCCUGACGAAGCGACGCCGUGUGUAUGAAGAAGGCCCUAGGGUUGUAAAGUUCUUCGCUGGAACAAGAGAAGCUGGCUAAUAUYCUGCRGAUUUGAGCGUACCAAGUAAAGAAGCACCGGCUAACUCC